UGGUCAAGUUAUUAAGGGUGCAGGGCGGAUGCCUUGGCACUAGGAGCCGAUGAAGGACGUGAUAAGCUGCGAUAAGCUUCGGGGAGUUGCACGUAAACUUUGAUCCGAAGAUUUCCGAAUGAGGAAACUCACUUAGAGUAAUGUCUAAGUAUCAUUAAGUGAAUACAUAGCUUAAUGAGGGGAACUCAGGGAACUGAAACAUCUAAGUACCUGAAGGAAGAGAAAGAAAUUCGAUUCCGUAAGUAGCGGCGAGCGAACGCGGAUUAGCCCAAACCAAUAAAGUUUUCUUUAUCGGGGUUGCGGACAUAUCAUAACGAAGAGGUAUCGUAAUUGAAGAGGUUUGGAAAGACCCACCACAGAAGGUAAUAGUCCUGUAUGUUAAACGAGAAGAC
rnacentral:rRNA from 1 species